rnacentral:rRNA from 1 species
CAGCCGUAAACAAUGUGCGUUAGGUGUGUCGGUAACCACGCGUUACUGAUGCGCCGAAGAGAAAUCGUGAAACGCACCACCUGGGAAGUACGGUCGCAAGGCUGAAACUUAAAGGAAUUGGCGGGGGAGCACCACAACAGGUGGAGCCUGCGGUUUAAUUGGAUCCAACGCCGGACAUCUCACCGGAUAAGACAGCUGAAUGAUUGUCAAUCUGAAGGUUUUACAUGACUAGCUGAGAGGAGGUGCAUGGCGUCAGUGACU